ACAAACCAAAAGGUAAACGAUCUCAUGGUGAAUUCUCAUAUCCAGCUAUGGAUCUAUAAACUCUUCCUCUUCGGGGUCGUCGGAAUCUAUGAACUGCGGCUCAUCGUCUGUGCCCGCUGGGCGGACGAGCUGCUCACCAUGGGCCAAGAAACCUAUAACGAGCUCAAACUCAUCUUCGGCCACGUCAUCCGUCAACUGCUC
rnacentral:lncRNA from 1 species